rnacentral:lncRNA from 1 species
CCCAUUUUAUUUGCUUUUAAUCAUUGCCUUUACCCCAGGCUUCUUGGUAAUGUGAUGGUGUUAACUAGGAGUCCUUAUCUCUGGGGCAAUGACCACAAAAGGAAAGUUUAGUAGUAGUGUCAGGGAACCACAAGUUUCAGACUUUAGUAGCUGUCCAUGAAGAUUGUUUAGCUCUAUCCAAGACUUUCUGCAACUUGAUGGCCAUAGUUUCCUGAGUCUGAGUCUUUAGUGCACCAAAAAGAAGUAUCCAUACCUGGAAAAGUUUCUGUUAGGCACAGGUGUGCAGAUUCUUUCUUUAACCAUAGGCUAGAUAGGCUAUGGAAAUGGAGAUGCAAAUAAAGGACAGCUUUACUGAAACUAUCUACAUUUUUCUCUUAUAUCCAAAGAUCUGUUAUCCUAGGGUAGUUGGAGUCCUAAUUUCCAAAAUUUUCAGAAAAGAACUCAACAACCAAAGAUAGAUUAGGGAGAUAACUAGUAUCUACUGAGUCCCCACUAUAUGCUCACACAGAAACUUUAUAUUUGUAAAUCUUAUAUCUCAAGGCCACGUUAGUCUGGAAAAAAAUAAAGUGGGGUCAAGACAAGAACUAGCAACAGCAUAUCUGCCUCUGCCCUCACCGUCUCUUGCAGGAUCUCUACACUAUCUUCUUUAAACAUGAUUUGCUAGCAGUUCUGGGAGUCCUCUGGUGUAGCUCAAAGAUGCUCACAGACAGCAUCCUCUCAGUAUCUCGAAGCAUCUGCCAAUUCCUUUCUCCUGGCUUAUAAGUCUUUGAUCUAUGACGGCUAUCAGCUAUCAGACCUGCUGAAAGUCAUGAAACAGCUAAACUACUUCCACUCUGCCAAUAGCCCUAGGGAUGUUGCACUCACAGGAACAUUUAUUUAAAAAUUCUCCCUGUGAAGAGUUGAUGUACGUGCAUGUUAAGUCAACCUAUAGCUACAGCUUUGAACAGCUGUGGCUCUCUAAUCAGGAAUUAAAACUCUAUUUUGUUGUUGUUGUUGUUGUUGCUGAGACAGGGUGAAGUGCAGGCUGGAGUGCAGUGGCAUGAUCAUGGCUCACUGCAGCCUUGACCUCCUGGCCUCAAGUGAUCCUCCUGCCUCAGCCUCCCAAGUAGCGAGGACUGUAGGUCGGCACCACAUAUUUGGGAUUGUCAGCAAACAUAAA